CCAGUGGAAGGGUGUAUAAAGGCUCUUCCUUCCUGGCCGCACGAGACCUCCCGACUCCUGGGAUGGCUUGUCCACACAUCCUCCUCUAGGGUGAGGCUUCUCCUGGGUGGGAGACGCUUGGAUGUCUCUCACUCGCCCUGAUCUCUCCUCUUGUCUUUUCUUGGGGAGUAGCUUCGACUUGCUGGCCCGCUGAUGUCGCAGCAGGAGCGGAGAUCCUGGGGGCCUCCGGGGGCUCCCAGGCGCUGCCCUGCCCCGGACCCCUCCCUGGCUCGCCGCUCCGCCCCCUGCUGCCCUCCCCACCCAGGGGGCUGUGCGUCUGGCCCCCAGGAGCCCCGGGAUCAGGGCCGGGAGGGCACCGGGAGGACCUGCCGCAGGCCCCGCUGGCUCGGCUGCGGCGUGGUCUACCGCAUCAGAGAGAAGGAGUGCUAAGGCGCCCGGCCCGGGGAGAGGCGGGGGUGCGGCCGCUCCGGCCCCCCAAGGCCCGUGCUCCGUGCCGGGAAGCUCAGGCCGCCGCCCUCCCCUUGGGGCUGGGAAGCUCUUCCUGGUCCCCGCGCCGAGGAGGCAAGACCGGCCUGACUGCGCUUCUGCUUCCGUCUCCCACCCACGCUGCAGCUCAGCCGCACGCAGCUGCUUCCUUUGGAGCCGCGGCCGCCGUGACCCCCCACAUUUCGGAGAGAUGGAUGGCUUGGGAUUUACGUCUGCGUUCCCGGCAUCCUCGCAGACACGCCCUGUCAUCCCAUGACCCUGGCAGCCAAGGCUGCGCUGUAAUAAACACCCACUGAGCCCUGCCGUGCGCUGGGCUCCGUGCUCACAGGUGUAAGUAGACUGGUUUCUGCUCUAGAAAAGCUUACAGUCUGGUGGGAGAAGCAGUGUACUCGAGAUUCAAACUCUAGAUAUGCCGACUAAUUCAUAUAAUUCUUAACCAACUGACAUGCUUUUCUUUGUCUCACUUCGUGUUCAAAGGAACUUGAAGGAGAAAAAGCACCAGAGGUCCAGGACGCCUGAAAGUGUAGAUGAAAGGUUCCCAGGACCGUGGGAGGAGAAGCCUGAAACAGCACAGGCUCCCUGGGAGGGGAGGACGGGCUUCCUGGACCAGGCAGCACUUCGGGGCCGUGGAGGACAGGCGGGAUUAGUGCUGGGCGGGCAGGGAAGGGGAAGGCUUCCAGGUGAAAGGCGCAGCACCGACUGCGCCCCUAAGCCAUGGGUGUCGGGGUGGCUGGCGGCCAGGCGUGAGAAGACGAUGUGGGACAGUUCAUGACUCCAGUCCCUCAUGGUACUGUGAGCCACUGGAUUACAGAACGUGAGAUAUAAAACCCCAGCUACCGAAGCACUGUCCGCUGCACACAGUCUGGGCCCAGGCUCAAGGUCUGUCAGCCUGGGUUUGGGGUACCUGAGGUAAGGUGUAGGGGCCAGUGGGUCCAACUAUGCUGCAUGUCGAUAUAAGUUCCAUGUAAAAUUUUUAAUGAUUCUCAUUUUCUCGGGGACACUGAAAAUAUAUUUUUUUAACCAAAUACCCAACCCAGUAGGUCAUAUUGGCCAGCCAGGUUCAGAGCAAUCAGCCUAUAUUCCAAUACCGGGGCCACCUAUUUGCAGACCUUAGCAGUCCUCCCACCCCUACAAGUAUACAGAUAUAUCAUAAUCUUGUAUAAUUAUAAUUCUAAAUGUGUAAAUUUUCUCAUUAAAUAAAUGAUGACUAUUUGUGUAAAUACGUGUUAAUGUUGAUAAGCAAAAGGAAGAUGAUUAUGACCAGCCAAAAAUCUCAUCACCUAGAAAUAACCACUAAUGACAAUUUCAUGGUUAUAUUUCUAAAUCUUACAGAAAUCACAAAAUGGGAUCAUUUCAGAAUAUUUUAGAACCCACUUUUUUAUUGAACAAUACCAUGGUCAACACUCUUCCAUGCUAGAAAAUGCCACUUACACUCCUAUACUCUCUGACAGGGGAGCAGACUCUCACCGGCGAUUAUUCUUAGUAAUUUCCCAAAGAUAAACUUUUAGAAUUGGAAUCCUGGCAUUGUCAAAGACUAUGAAAUUUUGUUUUCAGACUUUCCAGGAAGAUUGUAUUUUAGAAGCAAUUAAAAUGCCUCCAUUUAAGAAAAUCA